rnacentral:rRNA from 1 species
AAUCUUGCUGAUUGAAGUGAAGGAGCUUGCUCUGGAUCUGAUUGAAGCGCUGAUUAGUGGCGAACGGGCGAGUAACGCGUAUUCAAUCUACCUCCGAGUUGAGGAAAACUAUAGAGAUAUAGCUAAUCCUCAAUGGUCUCAUCAAAAUGAAAAUAUGAUGAGUAAAGGCUUGCCGCUUGGAGAAGAGGAUGCGUCCUAUCAGGUAGUUGGCGGGAUAAUAGCCCACCAAGCCUAUGACGGGUAACCGGUCUGAGAGGACGGACGGUCGCAAUGGGACUGAGACACGGCCCAUACCCCUACGGGGGGCAGCAGUGGGGAAUCUUGGACAAUGGACGAAAGUCUGAUCCAGCAAUUCUGCGUGCGGGAUGAAGGUCUAUGGAUCGUAAACCGCUUUUCUGAAGGAAGACGAAUGACGGUACUUCAGGAAUAAGCGACGGCUAACUUCGUGCCAGCAGCCGCGGUAAUACGAAGGUCGCAAGCGUUAUCCGGAAUUACUGGUCGUAAAGAGUGCGUAGCUGGUUUAAUAAGUCUGAUUUCAAAGAUCCUGUCUCAAACAGGGAAAGGGGUCAGAUACUGUUAUUCUGGAGAUAACUGGGGGUUAGUGGAAUUACCGGUGGAGGGGUGAAAUCCGUUGAUAUCGGUAGGAACGCCAAAAGCGAAAGCAACUAACUAUGGUUUUCUGACAGUCAAGCACGAAAGCUCGGGGAUCAAACGGGAUUAGAUACCCCGGUAGUCCGAGCUGUAAAUUAUGUCUGCUAAGUGUUUUGGGUUUAUACCCCAAGUGCUGUUACCUAACGGGUUAAGCAGAUCGCCUGGGUAGUAUACUCGCAAGAGUGAAACUCAAAGGGAUAGGCGGGGGAACACACAAGAGGUGGAUUGUCUCGAGUAAUUGGAUAAUAAGCCAGAAAUCUUACCUUCACUUGACAUGCUAUGUGUCAUACGGGUGAUCCGUAUUACCCUUCGGGGGCGUAGCACAGUUGGUGCAUGGUUGUCGUCAGUUCGUGCCUCAAGGUGUCGGGUUAAUUCUCGAAACGAACGCAACCCUCAUCCUAUGUUACUAUGUCAUAGGAGACUGCCCGGGUAACCGGGAGGAAGGUGUGGAUGACGUCAAAUCCUCAUGCUACUUACGUGAAGGGCUUCAGAGGCAAUACAAUGGGAUGGUACAAUCAGAAGCAAUGGGGUGACCCGGAGCAAAUCUAUAAAACAUUCCUUAGUUCGGAUUGUAGUCUGGAACUCGACUACAUGAAGUCGGAAUCUCUAGUAAUGGCAAAUCAGCAAGUUGCCGUGAAUAUGUCCCUGUUCCUUGCACUCACUGCCCGUCAAACUAUGAAAGCUGAGGCGCUUUGAAGGAUCGCAAUGCGGUACGAGAAGUGAAUCAGUGAUUGGAGUUAAGUCGGAACAAGGC